CUUUUUUAUAGACUGGAUUUAUAUAUUUAUAACUAAAAUUAGGUUAAAUUUUUUUUUUACAGAGUUAAAUAUUUAGAUUGAUGAAAGAUGUAUAAUAGUGACAGGGAUUAGAUACCCCAUUAAUGUACAUUGUAGCUUUGUCUUAGUUAAUAUAACUAAAAUAAUUUGGCAGUGAGCGACUCUUUUUAGGGGAAGGUGUGGUGUAAAGGAUGUUCCGCCUAAUAAUUUACUUUCGUUAUGUUGGUGUAUAUCUGGUUUAAUAUUAUCGUUGAGUAAGUGAGUUUGUGUAGUUUUAUUUAAGCCAAGUCUAUGUGCUGCUUAUGAAAGUAUUCAUGCGUUACAUUUAUAAGGUUUUGGUUGUAAUACUAAAAUAUUUAGGACUUAAAAGUAAUGUUCAAUAAGUUUGUGAGUGUGAAGUAAGUUUAGCUCAUGUACACACCGCCCGUCACCCUCGAUGCAUAUUGAGGUAAGUCGUAACAAGGUAAUU
rnacentral:rRNA from 1 species